AACGAACGCUGGCGGCAUGCCUAACACAUGCAAGUCGAACGAGACCUUCGGGUCUAGUGGCGCACGGGUGCGUAACGCGUGGGAACCUGCCUUUAGGUUCGGAAUAACUCAGAGAAAUUUGAGCUAAUACCGGAUGAUGUCUUCGGACCAAAGAUUUAUCGCCUUUAGAUGGGCCCGCGUUGGAUUGGCUAGUUGGUGGGGUAAAGGCCUACCAAGGCGACGAUCCAUAGCUGGUCCGAGAGGAUGAUCAGCCACACUGGGACUGAGACACGGCCCAGACUCCUACGGGAGGCAGCAGUGGGGAAUAUUGGACAAUGGGCGAAAGCCUGAUCCAGCAAUGCCGCGUGAGUGAUGAAGGCCUUAGGGUUGUAAAGCUCUUUUACCCGAGAUGAUAAUGACAGUAUCGGGAGAAUAAGCUCCGGCUAACUCCGUG
rnacentral:rRNA from 1 species